CACGUAAGGGGCAAGCGUUGUCCGGAAUCACUGGGCGUAAAGGGAGCGCAGGUGGUAAGAAAAGUCAGAUGUGAAAGUUUGCGGCUCAACCGUAAAAUUGCAUUUGAAACUUUCUUACUAGAGUAUCGGAGAGGAAAGCGGAAUUCCUGGUGUAGCGGUGAAAUGCGCAGAUAUCAGGAAGAACACCAAUGGCGAAGGCAGCUUUCUGGAAGAUAACUGACACCGAGGCUCGAAAGCAUGGGGAGCAAACAGG
rnacentral:rRNA from 1 species